rnacentral:rRNA from 1 species
GACGAGGUGCACAAACGUUAUUCGGAAUUACUGGGCUUAAAGCGUGCGUAGGCGGCCUAGCAAGUCGGGUGUGAAAGCCCUCGGCUCAACCGAGGAAUUGCGCCCGAAACUGCUGGGCUUGAGUGAGACAGAGGUGAGCGGAACUGAUGGUGGAGCGGUGAAAUGCGUUGAUAUCAGGAGGAACACCGGUGGCGAAGGCGGGUCUCUGGGCCGAUACUGACGCUGAGGAGCGAAAGCGUGGGGAGCGAACAGG